rnacentral:tRNA from 1 species
GAGGGUAUAUCUCAGUGGUAGAGCACGUGCUUAGCAUGCACAGGUCCUGGGUUCAAUCCCCAGCACUUCCA